rnacentral:rRNA from 1 species
GAUCUGGUCAGGACGAACGCUGGCGGCGUGCCUAACACAUGCAAGUCGAACGGAGAGCAUAUGAAGUAUUCGGUACGGAAUGCGUUCUAGUGGCGAACGGGUGAGUAACACGUGGGCAACCUGCCCCAGACUGGGGGAUAACAUUGUGAAAACAGUGCUAAUACCGCAUGACAGGGUUCCGGGCAUCCGGGACUCUUGAAAGGAGAAAUCCGGUCAGGGAUGGGCCCGCGUCCAAUUAGCUAGUUGGUGGGGUAACGGCCCACCAAGGCGACGAUUGGUAGCCGAACUGAGAGGUUGAUCGGCCACAUUGGGACUGAGACACGGCCCAGACUCCUACGGGAGGCAGCAGUGGGGAAUAUUGGGCAAUGGGCGAAAGCCUGAACCCCCAGCGACGCCGCGUGAAGGAUGAAGGUCUUCGGAUUGUAAACUUCUUUGAUCAGGGAAGAAAGAAAUGACGGUACCUGAAAAACAAGCCACGGCUAACUACGUGCCAGCAGCCGC